AGUUAAGUAUGGUAUGAUGAUGAUGCAUAUGAUAAGUAUGUGAAGAAUGGUUAUAUGAACACCAUAAGGGUGUUGUGUGAUAUGUAAUUGAUGAAUUCUGUGAUAUGUGAAAGAUGUCUUACUUGGUUAAGAAUGAUAUGAAUUAUGUGCAAGUAUGUGUUCUUAUGUUGAUGGAUAUGUGGAUUACUCUAUGUUCAUGAUUUGUUAUAUGUUAUGAUAUAUGAAGCGUUUAAGUUUUUAGGCUGGAAACCUUAGACCUGAGCCAUAGCUCUACGUUAAGGUAUAACAACGCCACCAACCCAAAGCUUCAUGUAUUAUGACUAAAGAUGUUUUGAGUUAUAUGAGAUGUGAUACAAUGCCUUGAUUGAAUACCAUCAACAUCAGUCAUGAACACGAACAUUGGCAUUUCAGCAUCAGCAUGUAUGCAUGGCAUGUACAUUUAUGUGAUACAUUAUUAUGUGAUAUAAGACCAUGCAUAUGGAUAUGAGAAAAGUUAUGAAAUGUCUUGAAAAGUCUUAUGUAAAGUUAAACAUUUUAAUGACACAAGGCUUAAGCAAAGUGAUAAUAAGAUGUUUAAAAAAGGGUGCCACUGUUUUGAUGAAGCAAUCAAGUAAGUUCAGUAAAGAAGACGGAAGUCUAUAAGACUUAUAGUGGCUGCCCACUAGUGUGGGCUAGGUCAGAGUUGACCAUUCAGAUAUGUUUGCCAUGUUUCCGUCUUUCUCCUCCAUAUGUGUAAUAAGUAUGGCAGCUAUGGCAACGAUGAAAUGAGUGUUAUGAUGAGCCUAGCUGAGAUGAUGGCUAGCCGGAGGAGAACCCAUGGGAUUCUAUAUGAUAUGUGUAACAAGCCCUGCAGGCAUUGGCUGAAUCAAACAGUGUGCACAAGUGAUAUUGGGCCCAUAAAAAUGUGAAACUAAAAGAAAGAGCAUAAAAGUAAAGUUUGAAAGUGCAUGAGCAAUAAAUGAAAUUCAUAAGUAUAUAAGUCAGCAUAUUAGUAUAUGUGCACUACAAACUCACGACAUUCAUGUGUAUGUGUAUGCAUGAGAUUUGCUUACUGAGCGUUAGCUCAUUAUGUUAUUUUCCAACAUUUUUCCAGGUGUGGCUUUAGCUGUUGAGCAACUUGUGGAGCACGGACUCAGUAGCAAUGCAAUAAUGGUUUAGAGUUUUCAUAUGGCUGCCUUAAAUUUAAAGUAUUCAUACGUGUUACCUCCUUGUGGAUCGACCGCCCGAUUAUACUACAACUACCGCUUAGUGGUUGUCACGAUUUGAGUGUUAAACACUAAGGCUUGGGAAUUAACUCAGCAACUAGUUGGUGGACUUGCUCUUCAAUAAAGGUAAAGGCAAGGGUAAGAUGAAUUGACCAUGGGUUGGAGAGCUCUGGGGGUGAGGUGUACAUUGUUAGCUGCUCGGCCGCCACGGUCGAGGGAUUGUGCAGGGACGGAAACCUAAAAUGUGUAUUUUGCCAUUAAAGUGGCUUGAGUAUUUAUAACAGUUGGAAAUUCUAUAAUUAUGUCAUUUAAAUCUUGAUUUGGGAUUCCAUGUA